UUGGGAAAUGUAGCCCAAAAAUUCAUGUUAUCAAUGUGUUAUUUGUGUGACUGAAAUUUUAUGUAGGCACAGGCAUAGGAGGAAAAACAGAAAAUAAUUUUUUGGAAAAUUCAGACAUUCUCUAAAAGGUUGUUCCCUAUGUACAUUAAAGCAAAAAUAUUAAAUCCAAUUUCAUUAAGUUUUAGGUGUGGAAAUAAACGCAUCAUAGUGGGACAGGAAGAAGGAUCAGGUCUUUUUUUUCAUUUUAUUGUUUUCUAAGAUCCCAUUGAACUGGUCUUUUUCUGAAACUGGUGCCAUCUUGCUUCUGACUUUAAAAAUACUUGUGUCUUAAAACUACGUUCAUAUGUAUUCCACACACUAGAGAACUUACUGCAUUGCAUCAGCAGAACGGUCUAUAUUAUAUGUGAUAGGUAAUAAAAAUAACAUUAAUUUCUAACCCUGAAUAUUUAAUAACUCAUUAUCUUAGAAUAAGGAACAAAUUCAUUUUGAAACUAUACCUUGCUAAUUUUUCAUGGGGUAAGAGAAGGAUUAUAAAAUGACAGAUUUAGACUCUCAGAAGUUACUUCCUGGAGUGGUUGGCAAAUGAAGCUAAUGGUGAAACAAGUAUUUCCUGUGGUUGUAGAAAUGCGAUAGGAUUCCUACUUUACCAUAUGUAUCAAUGUAGUGUUAAUAAAUGUGAUGUCAUUCAUAAAUUAACUUCACUUUUUCCCAUUUCCCUUACUAGCUUUUGCAUGUGAUGAACACUUCUGCUGCCUUGUAGACAACCAAAAGCAGGGAGAAUGGAACAAAGAGAAGUCAGAGAGAUGAGGGAAAGAAAUACAGAAAUUUCAUUGGGAACAAGAAGGAGAAUGGCAGGGAGGACCAAGAGAAGAACAAAUAGGGAAAAGAAGAUUUGGAGGAGAAAUACAACAUCAGUCCUGGAAGGAGAAAGAAGAAAACAGGAGAUAAGGGAGAAACUCACAGUACAACUCUUGAAAUUCUUGGUUGACUCAUCUUGCAGACCUCUACAGCUCGUUAAGUUUGUCUGUGAAGUUCUACAGCUCUAUAAAAAUGAGCUGACUGAAUAAAGGACAGCAAGCCUUUUAUUUUCAA